UCAUCAGUAGGAAUCUAAAGGAAAAGAAUAGUAGCAUUGAAUUUGGAGAAAAGUGGAAAGAUCCAAGAUAUUUAGCAGGUAGAAUCAGGAGAGGUUGGCAGUUUUGCACGGAAGGAGCUGAGGGAGCAUUCAAGGAUACCACCCAGGUUUCUGCUUUGGCAUCUGAGCAGCAGGGAAAAAGAUGAUGACUCAAGUUUUGGACAUGUAUUUAAAGUGCCAAGUACAGCUUGCAUAUAUGGACUUGAAGAUAGAUUUAAGCUAGGUUUGGGGUGAGAGUGGGAAAUGUCAAACUUUUUAAGUAAUCCCUGUAUUUCCCCCCACCUUUCUGCCUUCCUCUGUAGGCACAGUGGACAGUUUGGCACAAUCAAUAACUUCAGGCUGGGUCGCCUGCCCAGUGUUCCCGUGGAAUGGAAUGAGAUUAAUGCUGCUUGGGGCCAGACUGUGUUGCUGCUCCAUGCUCUGGCCAAUAAGAUGGGUCUGAAAUUUCAGAGAUACCGACUUGUUCCUUACGGAAACCAUUCAUAUCUGGAGUCUCUGACAGACAAAUCUAAGGUACUCUGUGAAGCUCCAUUUUCACUGGAAUACAGAGUUCUUAUA
rnacentral:lncRNA from 10 species